rnacentral:rRNA from 1 species
GACGAACGCUGGCGGCGUGCCUAAUACAUGCAAGUCGACCUUAGUGGCGAACGGGUGAGUAACACGUGGGUAACCUGCCCAUCAGAAGGGGAUAACUACUGGAAACGGUAGCUAAUACCGCAUACCAUCGGAUGUGCCCAGAUGGGAUUAGCUAGUAGGUGGGGUAAAGGCUCACCUAGGCGACGAUCCCUAGCUGGUCUGAGAGGAUGAUCAGUCACACUGGAACUGAGACACGGUCCAGACUCCUACGGGAGGCAGCAGUAGGGAAUCUUCGGCAAUGGACGAAAGUCUGACCGAGCAACGCCGCGGGAGUGAAGAAGGUUUUCGGAUCGUAAAACUCUGUUGUUAGAGAAGCGGUAUCUAACCAGAAAGCCACGGCUAACUACGUGCCAGCAGCCGCGGUAAUAC